rnacentral:rRNA from 1 species
AGAGUUUGAUCAUGGCUCAGAUUGAACGCUGGCGGCAUGCCUUACACAUGCAAGUCGAACGGCAGCACGGGAGCAAUCCUGGUGGCGAGUGGCGAACGGGUGAGUAAUACAUCGGAACGUGCCCAGUAGUGGGGGAUAGCCCGGCGAAAGCCGGAUUAAUACCGCAUACGACCUACGGGUGAAAGCGGGGGAUCGCAAGACCUCGCGCUAUUGGAGCGGCCGAUGUCAGAUUAGCUAGUUGGUGGGGUAAAAGCCUACCAAGGCGACGAUCUGUAGCUGGUCUGAGAGGACGACCAGCCACACUGGGACUGAGACACGGCCCAGACUCCUACGGGAGGCAGCAGUGGGGAAUUUUGGACAAUGGGCGCAAGCCUGAUCCAGCCAUGCCGCGUGCGGGAAGAAGGCCUUCGGGUUGUAAACCGCUUUUGUCAGGGAAGAAACGGCCUGAUCUAAUACGUCGGGCUAAUGACGGUACCUGAAGAAUAAGCACCGGCUAACUACGUGCCAGCAGCCGCGGUAAUACGUAGGGUGCAAGCGUUAAUCGGAAUUACUGGGCGUAAAGCGUGCGCAGGCGGCUUUGCAAGACAGAUGUGAAAUCCCCGGGCUUAACCUGGGAACUGCAUUUGUGACUGCAUGGCUAGAGUGCGGCAGAGGGGGAUGGAAUUCCGCGUAGCAGUGAAAUGCGUAGAUAUGCGGAGGAACACCGAUGGCGAAGGCAAUCCCCUGGGCCUGCACUGACGCUCAUGCACGAAAGCGUGGGGAGCAAACAGGAUUAGAUACCCUAGUAGUCC